rnacentral:lncRNA from 12 species
UAUUUUCAAGAAAGUUCCAUUUAAUUGUUUUUUCUCACAUGCUCUAAAAGAUUCCACUGGCAAGAGAGAAGUCCCAGCCCUUGACCAGCGUGAAACUCUGUCCAGCAGCAAAAUCAGUGGCAAAAAAUAUAUUGACUUGGAUGGGGUUGGUCGGCUGAUUUGUCAUGCCCUCGUGCCACUCUGCGAGGAAUGACCUGCUUAUGUGAUAAACUGAUCUCAGGGAUGCUCUGCUUUUUUUUGCCAUGGUAAGACCUACUUCCCCUCAAAUCUCAGUUUGGAGAAGACAGCACUAUUGCCUUUAUUCUGGAGUGAACUCCACAAAAAAAUUGCAAUAAAAAUUAUGACAAUUUC